rnacentral:rRNA from 1 species
UAACGGCUGAACCAGCAACUUGGAGGAAUGUAUAGCUACGGCUAAUUGUGUAUAUCUACACGAUAUCGACUCUGUCGAAUAAAAUUCUGGGUAAAUUAUGAUGAUGACAUUUUUUACCUAUGUGUCUUGACCAAAUUGUGUGCCAGCAGUCGCGGUAAUACAUAGAAGACUAGUGUUAUUCAUCUUUAAUAGGUUUAAAGGGUACCUAGACGGUAGAUCAAGCCCUAGACGGGACUAAUUUGCUAGAGUUACUUAUGAGGGGGCUUUAAAGUACUAAUGGUGUAGAGAUAAAAUUUUGUAAUACCAUUUUUCGUAAAGAAAAAUUAUGGCACUGGUAAAGGUGAAAGCAUCCCCCUAUGUGAUAACUGACGUUGAAGGACGAAGGCUUUGGGUCGCGAAUAGGAUUAGAUACCCUAGUAGUCAAAGCAGAAAAUUAUGAGUGUCAUAGAUUAGAUAAUACAGUUUAUUCUAUAAAUGAAAGUGUAAGCACUCCACCUCAAGAGUAAUUUGGCAACAUUGGAACUGAAAUCAUUAGACCGUUUCUGAAACCAGUAGUGAAGUAUGUUGUUUAAUUCGAUGAUCCGCGAAAAACCUUACCACAAUUUGAAUAUGUAUACUUUUGAUAUAUUUACAAGCGUUGCACGGCUGUCUUCAGUUAAUGUCGUGAGACUUUGGUUAGAUCCAUUAAAUUAACGUAAGCCCUUACUUUAUUUUCAUAUAAAGUAGUUCUCCACCAUAUUGGACAAGAUAACAGGGACUAAGACAAGUCAUCAUGGCCUGAAUAUUGUGGGCUAUAGACGUGCCACAUAAACCUCUACAAAGGGAUGUG